rnacentral:rRNA from 1 species
GACGAACGCUGGCGGCGUGCUUAACACAUGCAAGUCGAACGGUGAAGCGCCUUCCUUUUUGGUGGGUGUGGAUGAGUGGCGAACGGGUGAGUAACACGUGAGUAACCUGCCCCCUUCUUCUGGAUAACCGCAUGAAAGUGUGGCUAAUACGGGAUAUUCUGGGUCUGUCGCAUGAUGGGUCUGGGAAAGAUAUUGUUUCGGUGGGGGAUGGGCUCGCGGCCUAUCAGCUUGUUGGUGGGGUGAUGGCCUACCAAGGCGGUGACGGGUAGCCGGCCUGAGAGGGUGGACGGUCACACUGGGACUGAGACACGGCCCAGACUCCUUCGGGAGGGAGCAGUGGGGAAUAUUGCACAAUGGGCGCAAGCCUGAUGCAGCGACGCCGCGUGAGGGAUGGAGGCCUUCGGGUUGUGAACCUCUUUCGCCAGUGAAGCAGGCCUGCCUCGUUUGUGGGUGGGUUGACGGUAGCUGGAUAAGAAGCGCCGGCUAACUACGUG